ensembl:lncRNA
GUAAUGAAUCACAUUUUGCUACAGUGGCUGAAGGGAAAGACAUUCGAAGUGCAAGAGCAAUAAAUUCACAUGUAAAACAAGCCACCCACCGCACUUUUAUUUCCUCCAGACCUGCUGCUUAUUAGAUGCCUUGGCGAAAAGCUUAAUGCCUUGUGUCAUCUCUAAUGCAUGCCUUUGCAACAGCAGCUGCACUUUGAAUUCAUCCAUCAUUUGCCAGGAUCUAAACAACAGAAGAAUUUUCUGCUGCUCUAGUUUGCACUUUCCAAUCCUACAUCAUCAGCAGCCUGAAGAAAACCACAGCAGCAAGCAGGGGAAUAAUUAUGUGUGUGUGCAUGCACAUGCAUAUGUAGGAUUUUGGAGAGUUGCAUGUGAGUAUGCACUGAAACAGAGUUUACCACUGGUCAGGCACAGAGAACAUGGGAGAAGAACUGCAGACAUCUGGCUGGGACAGUGACACGAGUCUAACCUCACCUUCAGUUCUUCACAAAGAACCUAUUCAUUGAGUGACCUUGGAUGAAUCACCGAGGUCAGACUUUACUCCAGCAUUUCGCCAGUUGGCAGCAGAGAGAAGGAACAGUAAAGGAAGACACUUGAGCAGGUCAAAGCCAAUAGAAAGCGACUUGAGAGGAAAGAAUGAGCAGUGUCCCUACACAAGGUCACUAUUUGUUAUGGCAUCAUUUACUUUGUACCUGGAAAAAUAACCCACACCUUCUCUUCUCUAUUUUUUUUUUUUUGCUGAAGGGAAAUAAUUCAUGCUUCUGAGACAGCCUUUACCCCAGACAUAUUUAAGGCAAUAUUAAGCUCUCAUAAAAAUUACUUACUUUGAUCUAAGAGACCAUGACAUAUAGAGCAUACACGAAGCCAUUCCCUCUCCUAAGUUUCAUCAAUUUUAAAAUGUUGACAUAUUCAAACCGGAGCAGAUUGUAAAAUCUGUCACAAAGACCAAAGAACUAAAGCCCAAAAUUGUAAAAUAUGUGCAUUAUUUAUCUUGUGGUUUCAUUAAGAAGCUUGACUGGGAUCAGAUCACCACUCUGUGAGGCAGAAGGUAGAGAGAUUCCCAAGCAGGGAUCAUUCCAACUGUAUUUCAGAGAGAAAAGAAGAGAAUGAGACAGAUGAAGCAUCUGAAGGUUCUGAAGCUGAGUAGAAAAGAGUUUCCAUACAUAGGAACAGAGAGCUCUUUUUGGGGAAAAUGCUAGCUAAUCUGUCAUUUCCAACCACUGACCCCACCUUAGGAAGAUCUAGGAUAUAUAACAGAAAUCAACCAUAACAAAACAAAAGCAACCAUACGACGCAAUGCUAUAAUAAGUAGGAAAUGCUCAGUUUAUUCUGUUUUUAAUAGGUGCUUGUGUGCAAGCUGCUGCGCCGGCUGGCACGGAAGGCCAGAGAAGCUCAGGAAGGAGAUGAAUGAGGCUGUGCUGUGAGUCUGGCUCUGUGGCUGUGGGCUAUCCUAACCCUUAUGCUCUGCGAGCUGGCACAGAUGGGGCAGUGUGUAACUCACCAGUGAAUUAUACAUGCCAUUAAAUGAGUCAUUGAAAAUUCCCAUUUCUGUGGAGGGGCAUUGAAGCGAACAGGGAACAUGCAUCAAAUAUCAUUUCAUAGGCAUACAUGGUUGAAUAAUUUUAAUCUGAAUACCAACAGCCUCACACUCUUUCCUCAAGCUUACCUGGCUGACUUUAUGACUAAAAGAAGCCAGAGUCAUGAUUCCUCUGAGAUAAGACUCAUUGCAGUGAAAGAAACAGCAGUUAGAAGGGAAAAAACAGUCUAUGAGCAGAAACCCAGCUUUGCACAAUAAACCUAUAUCACACCCAACA